UUGCUCUUCUUGGAUGAGUUGCGAACGGGUGAGUAACGCGUAGGUAACCUGCCUUGUAGCGGGGGAUAACUAUUGGAAACGAUAGCUAAUACCGCAUAACAAUGGAUGACACAUGUCAUUUAUUUGAAAGGGGCAAUUGCUCCACUACAAGAUGGACCUGCGUUGUAUUAGCUAGUAGGUGAGGUAAUGGCUCACCUAGGCGACGAUACAUAGCCGACCUGAGAGGGUGAUCGGCCACACUGGGACUGAGACACGGCCCAGACUCCUACGGGAGGCAGCAGUAGGGAAUCUUCGGCAAUGGGGGCAACCCUGACCGAGCAACGCCGCGUGAGUGAAGAAGGUUUUCGGAUCGUAAAGCUCUGUUGUAAGUCAAGAACGGGUGUGAGAGUGGAAAGUUCACACUGUGACGGUAGCUUACCAGAAAGGGACGGCUAACUACGUGCCAGCAGCCGCGGUAAUACGUAGGUCCCGAGCGUUGUCCGGAUUUAUUGGGCGUAAAGCGAGCGCAGGCGGUUUGAUAAGUCUGAAGUUAAAGGCUGUGGCUCAACCAUAGUUCGCUUUGGAAACUGUCAAACUUGAGUGCAGAAGGGGAGAGUGGAAUUCCAUGUGUAGCGGUGAAAUGCGUAGAUAUAUGGAGGAACACCGGUGGCGAAAGCGGCUCUCUGGUCUGUAACUGACGCUGAGGCUCGAAAGCGUGGGGAGCGAACAGGAUUAGAUACCCUGGUAGUCCACGCCGUAAACGAUGAGUGCUAGGUGUUGGAUCCUUUCCGGGAUUCAGUGCCGCAGCUAACGCAUUAAGCACUCCGCCUGGGGAGUACGACCGCAAGGUUGAAACUCAAAGGAAUUGACGGGGGCCCGCACAAGCGGUGGAGCAUGUGGUUUAAUUCGAAGCAACGCGAAGAACCUUACCAGGUCUUGACAUCCCGAUGCUAUUUCUAGAGAUAGAAAGUUACUUCGGUACAUCGGUGACAGGUGGUGCAUGGUUGUCGUCAGCUCGUGUCGUGAGAUGUUGGGUUAAGUCCCGCAACGAGCGCAACCCCUAUUGUUAGUUGCCAUCAUUCAGUUGGGCACUCUAGCGAGACUGCCGGUAAUAAACCGGAGGAAGGUGGGGAUGACGUCAAAUCAUCAUGCCCCUUAUGACCUGGGCUACACACGUGCUACAAUGGUUGGUACAACGAGUUGCGAGUCGGUGACGGCGAGCUAAUCUCUUAAAGCCAAUCUCAGUUCGGAUUGUAGGCUGCAACUCGCCUACAUGAAGUCGGAAUCGCUAGUAAUCGCGGAUCAGCACGCCGCGGUGAAUACGUUCCCGGGCCUUGUACACACCGCCCGUCACACCACGAGAGUUUGUAACACCCGAAGUC
rnacentral:rRNA from 1 species